rnacentral:rRNA from 1 species
GGUGAACGCUGGCGGCGUGCUUAAGACAUGCAAGUCGAACGCAGUCUUCGGACUGAGUGGCGCACGGGUGAGUAACACGUAACUGACCUACCCCCAAGUCGCGGAUAACUGGCCGAAAGGUCAGCUAAUACGUGAUGUGAUGUCCCCUUUCUGGGGGGCCAUUAAAGGUUUACUGCUUGGGGAUGGGGUUGCGUUCCAGCAGCUAGUUGGCGGGGUAAGGGCCCACCAAGGCAACGACGGAUAGCCGGCCGGAGAGGGUGGCCGGCCACAGGGGCACUGAGACACGGGUCCCACUCCUACGGGAGGCAGCAGUUAGGAAUCUUCCACAAUGGGCGAAAGCCUGAUGGAGCGACGCCGCGUGAGGGAUGAAGGUUCUCGGAUCGUAAACCUCUGAAUCAGGGACGAAAGACGCGUAAGCGGGAUGACGGUACCUGAGUAAUAGCACCGGCUAACUCCGUGCCAGCCGCCGCAGUAA